rnacentral:tRNA from 1 species
ACAGGGAUGUCCGAGUGGUUAAGGAGGCGGCCUUAAGAUCCGCUGUAGAAAUACGCGUGGGUUCAAACCCCACUCCCUGUA